AUGACUUCCUUCACAAAGGGUGAGGAGGAGCGCCAUGACGAUCACCAAAGAAAGGCAUACGAGAAUCUACAGCACAAUCAGCAGAGGAGAAUGCAGCUCCAGAAUGAUCUUCAGUCACAGCAGCGAAAUCAUCGCCUGAGCAGGGCAGCCUGGAUGCAGGGCCGCUGGUUGGAGAUCAGUGAGCAGGAGCGCAGGGCUCAGAUCAAGAACCAAAAGCUGCUGCAGGACUUUCAGAGAGCACAACACACGCUCAGUGACAUGGUGGCCCGCACCGAAGCCAUGAACACUAUACGGGUUCAGUAUGAACAGUAUCUGGAAGAGAGCUUCCCACGAUGGCAACAAAGACUCAAAGACAUAAGAGUUUCUGAAAGGUCAAAGCAGGUACAGCAGCACUUAAAGAGCUAUAUUCAGACGAUGGAAAAGGAAGAAGGUAUCAAGUCUGAACACAGGUCUGACUUUAGAGGCCACCUGUCCUCCAAUUUUCCAGACGCAUCUCAGCCUUCACACACCAUGCUAAACACUCAUCGGAAAGUGAAAGACAUCAAGCAAAAUCCUGAAAGAUGCAACCAUGAUCCUUACAUUCCACCCACUUGGUUAACUGGCUCACAGCCUUCAAUUUCCGGACUCCCCCAAAACAAUAUCGCAAAGGAUUACAAAAACCUUCAGAACAAUCAAACCUUAAAUAAUCCCUUGCCACCUUACUAUUCUUUACCUGGCGAUUUAGUCCAUCAGUCACAUUCUCCAGUCCAGCAAAAGCCACCAUCAAUGGACCAUCUGUGGGCUGGUAUAAGGCAAGAGUUUAUGCCUACAGCUCACUUCACUCCUCCUGCUGCUUCCCAGCCACGACUUCCUGUGCUGAACCCCAUGACGUGGGGUAUGAUGGAUGUACCAGACCCCAGUGAGGAAAGAAUCCAAUGCAGUGAGCCAGACAAGGAAAAGGUGACAAAAGCAAAACCAAAACACAGGCGGAAAGGGAAAGAGAGUGAUCGGUCUUCUGAGCUCGACUGUAGACCAGUGCGUCUAUCAAUCAACCAUGAAGAAAGUAGUGAAGGUAGCAAUGUGUCCUCUAAAGUUUCUGGGAUGCAAAAACGGAGAAAGAAAAAAACAGAUGGGACAAAAUCAAAUUCUACAGAAAAUAGGAAUGAAUCUCACGGCUCUUCCACUGUGUCACAAGAUGCUUCAGAUAGUAACUUGGGCACAAAAAUCAACCAAAAACACCAAAAGCAAUUUAAUAAGUGCAACAGCAAAGAAUCCGUUAUCGCAGAGAAGACUGUUGAUGCAGUGAUGCAAGAUGAAGACGAACAAGAAGAAAGCAAGAGCCAAGAAAUUUCUCAGAGUAGUGUCAGCUCUGGAAAGAAAGAUGGAUCUGAAGGACUUAAUGUUAGAGAGGAAGAAGAUUCUAAUGAAGGAGAUGAUGACAGUCAUGACAUCAUUGUGGCAGAGGAGAAAAUAAGUCACAGAGAAGCUAAAGAUGAAGACGAGGAUGAAGAAAGCACAGAUGGAGAUGAGGAAGCAGGAUUUGAUGAUGAAGCACAGGGAUGCGAUGAAGAAGGGAGUGAGACAGUGGUGGGAAAGAGAGAUGAGACUGAACCCAGUGAUAGAGAAGAUCCAGAAAGGGAAGGCGUUGUUCCAGAUGACAUUCCAGAUAGUGGAGAUGGAGGAGAAACAACGGAGGAAGAGGAAAGAGAAAAUAGUUUUCAAAAUACAAAGGAGGCUAGAAAGACUCAAGAAACUGUAGAAGAUGAGAGAGAAAUUCACAAAAGCCUCGAGGAGUCUGAAGAGGAAGAGGUUUACAAUCAAGAAGUAGAAGAUGAUGAAGAAGAAGAUGAUGAGGAGGUUGUGGUUGAGAAAUCAUACCCCUGGUCAAGAGACCCUUUUGAUGAUCAUACAAAAUGCCCUGAGGAUGAUGAGGAUGAUAUUGAAGGUCUUCUCAACCCUGUCAACUCCCAAACACAGCAGGAGGAUGAUAUGAAGGAGACAGAGCAAUCAAAUGAUCAACCAUCUGAUUCAGAGGAGGAAAAUCUACCACAGAAGAGUCAUCCUGCAGCCACAAAUGAGAUAGUGGAGUCUGAUGAUGAGUUUGACCACUUCUAUGAUUAAACCAGAAACUAGAACAGAAAGAUGGGAAACAGAAAAAGAAUUGAACAGAAAGAGAAAACCAAUAAAGGAUGAAUAAGCUGGACA
ensembl:lncRNA